rnacentral:lncRNA from 1 species
AUUUAAAAAAACAGAAUCAGAAAAUUUUGAGAGCGGGAGGGAGUCUAGCAAUGGUUUAUGAUUCAAAACCUCUCGCCUUUCUCUUCUGUUUCAGUGGAGGAGCUCUCUCUUCUUUGAAGACAGAUCCUUUUAACUGUGCUUUGAUACUCGACCCUCCACCAUGGUCACUACAACCUACAAAUUGGCUUCCUCUGGAGAAAUGUCUCAGAGCUGCAACUACAGCCCAGAAAUAGAACUACUUUUGGCUCUGAAACAAAAAACCAGAGGCACUGGACUUUUCCGGCAAAAUGUUAUCAGUAUGGCAUGUAUUUAGCCUUUGGUUAUUUCAUUUAUUAAGCUAGGAAGUUCUUAAAAACAACAAUUGCUUUGAGAAAAUCAUGUUAUUGCUUUUUGCCUGUGCAAGAUACUAUUUGCUGAAGUUUAAAAUAUAUAUAUAAUCCCAGGGUUAGCAUUGGCC